GCCCCGGCGACUCCUCCCUACUCCACUCCCCUUGAGUCGCGCCGCCCCCGACCACGUUGGGACUGGGACGCGUCACCUCCCAGCUCCGUCCCAGUGACCAGCGCAACUCCUCCUCCAUGUGGCCUGCUGGUCGAGGGUCUGAUAAUGGACAUAACACAGCUACUGGAGAGGAGAUUAAAAUAUGGAAGAUAGCAACAGAGGGGGAAGCUGAGGCUGGUAGAUCCAUUGAGCAAGAGUCCCAGACCCAGGUUUUUAGUAGAUGAAGGAGAAAGUCCGCGCCAAGAAGAACA